rnacentral:misc_RNA from 1 species
GGAGAUUUUGGAGCUCUAUUUACAAGAUAAACCAUUGGCAGAUGAUGUAGAUGUCAAAGCAAUUGCCCGUGGCACACCAGGCUUCAAUGGAGCAGAUCUAGCAAACCUAGUUAACAUUGCUGCCAUUAAAGCUGCUGUUGAAGGUGCAGAGAAGUUAACUGCCGCACAGUUGGAGUUUGCAAAAGAUAGGAUAAUAAUGGGCACUGAGCGGAAAACAAUGUUUAUAUCAGAAGAAUCAAAGAAGGUAACUGCAUAUCAUGAGAGUGGCCAUGCUAUCGUAGCCUUCAACACUGAUGGUGCGCAUCCAAUUCACAAGGCAACAAUAAU